CAUUACUUCUUUCUAUGCAUCAUCAGGCAGAAUGGUCAGGGUUUGUGGCAAAAUGUGAGUCAUUGUUAACAAUAUUAACAGCUACCAUUUCAGCUGAUGCUUCAGCACAAGCCAUGAUGGACGGAAACAGAAGCAGGGCCAUGCAUGUUUUGAAUCUGGUUCGUGAUCCAAACUGUCUUCAGUCAUGACUGCCAAAACUAGAAAUGAAGCCAGCAACGGGAAAAAUCUGUGUGAAGGCCAUUCUACGAUAUUUCCAUCCAGAAAGACUCAUGAAUCCCCCAGGAAAGUCUUCUCCCAGGAGCAUCCCACUUUCUUCCAAUGAGCUUCUGAGGUCUGAAGAACUGAGUUAAAGUCCCUUCUGGCUAACACUCUGCCACCUGCUUUCCUUCUCAUCGUUCACAGCACUGCAGAGACUGCUGAAAAGAAUACCAACAGGUCAGUUCAAGAAUAGACAUGGAAACAGGCAACCAGCUACAGAAUGGAGUGAAAUUCAUCAGUAGAGGAA